GUGGGGAAUAUUGGACAAUGGGGGGAACCCUGAUCCAGCAAUGCCGCGUGUGUGAAGAAGGCCUGAGGGUUGUAAAGCACUAUCAGUUACGAGGAGAGUACCUAGGUUAAGAGCUGAGGUAUAAGACGUUAGUAACAGAAGAAGCACCGGCUAACUCCGUGCCAGCAGCCGCGGUAAUACGGAGGGUGCGAGCGUUAAUCGGAAUUACUGGGCGUAAAGAGUGCGUAGGUGGGUUGAUAAGUUAUUGUUUAAAUUCAUGGGCUUAACCUGUGGUAGUGCAGUAAUACUGUUAAUCUAGAGUGUAGUAGAGGAUAGGGGAAUUUCUGGUGUAGCGGUGAAAUGCGUAGAUAUCAGAAGGAACACCGGUGGCGAAGGCGCCUAUCUGGGCUAAGACUGACACUGAGGCACGAAAGCUUGGGUAGCGAACAGGAUUAGAUACCCUAGUAGUCC
rnacentral:rRNA from 1 species